GACGAACGCUGGCGGCGUGCCUAAUACAUGCAAGUAGAACGCUGAAGAGAGGAGCUUGCUCUUCUUGGAUGAGUUGCGAACGGGUGAGUAACGCGUAGGUAACCUGCCUUGUAGCGGGGGAUAACUAUUGGAAACGAUAGCUAAUACCGCAUAACAAUGGAUGACCCAUGUCAUUUAUUUGAAAGGGGCAAAUGCUCCACUACAAGAUGGACCUGCGUUGUAUUAGCUAGUAGGUGAGGUAACGGCUCACCUAGGCGACGAUACAUAGCCGACCUGAGAGGGUGAUCGGCCACACUGGGACUGAGACACGGCCCAGACUCCUACGGGAGGCAGCAGUAGGGAAUCUUCGGCAAUGGGGGCAACCCUGACCGAGCAACGCCGCGUGAGUGAAGAAGGUUUUCGGAUCGUAAAGCUCUGUUGUAAGUCAAGAACGAGCGUGAGAGUGGAAAGUUCACACUGUGACGGUAGCUUACCAGAAAGGGACGGCUAACUACGUG
rnacentral:rRNA from 1 species